GCUCUCUGAUAUAUUGUUUUUAAGGGCCGCGGUAAUCUGACCGUGCAAAGGUAGCAUAAUAGUUAGUUUUUUAAUUGGAAUCUUGUAUGAAUGGUUGGACAAAAGAAGUACUGUCUUUAUUAUUAUUAUUGAAUUUAACUUUUAAGUGAAAAGGCUUAAAUUAUUUAAGAAGACGAUAAGACCCUAUAAAGCUUUAUAAAUAAAUUUUUAUUUAGUUGAAUUAUAUUAUAAAAUUUUAAUAAGGUUUAUUAUUUUAUUGGGGAGAUAAUAUUAUAAAUUUAGAUAACUGUUAAUAAUUAAUACAAAAAUAUUUGUUUAUAAUGAAUAAAAGAUCCUAUUUAGAGAUUUUAAGUUUAAGUUACUUUAGGGAUAACAGCGUUAUUUUUCUUGAGAGUUCAUAUCGAAAGAAUAGAUUGCGACCUCGAUGUUGAAUUAAAAUUUCUUAAUAAUUGCAGAAGUUAUUUUAGAAGGUCUGUUCGACCUUUAAAUUUUUA
rnacentral:rRNA from 1 species